AUUCAGGGUGUCCCACUGCCAGCAUUUUAAUGGAGAAUUUGUCUUUCUCCCCACCCUUUUCUGGAUCAAAACUGCAUGAAACGUCAACAGCAGAGCAGUUGAAUUUCGUAGAUGCAAAACUUGGGGAGUCUUCACAAGCAAUCUGGAGGAAUGAGUCUGCGGUAGAGAGGACAGUGCCUGUGAAAUUAUUACUUAAAACAGAGUCCAGAGUCUCAGGAUGUUAUCCUUGAAUGACCUGGGAAGGAGUGAACUUCUUACUAGCUGAAGAGCAUGUGAUGUUGACUGUUGUCAGGAAACCUGCAGCUGCAGGAGAAUGGCCUGAAACUUUUUAACGGGGAAUCUUCUUUUCUGUUGGCAUACUUCUUUACUUUUAACUCGAAGAUCUCUGUGAUAUUCUUCUUUUUUAGCACUUUGGCUUUCUGAUUUCAUACUGCAAAACAGAUAAUUUGUAACUCUCAAGAUCUUACCAGUGCUUCCAAAGGAUGCAUGUUGCCUCACAGACUUUUUUUUCCCCUCUUUUAUUUCUUUUUUUUUUUCCCAGCACAUAAAGCUAUAAACAAGCAAUGAAGAAAUCCAUCCUUUAAAAAUAGCUGGUGACGAUCAGAGCACAUGUUUUGCUACUCAUGCAGAAAAGGCAAGCAUCUGCUUUGAAGAGAAGGCUUCAAUGGCUCCAGCAGCAAUUUAUAGUCAUGAAGCUGUCAGCUUGCACCUGCACUGCAAGCAGCAAAGGAGAAGGGGAAGAGGAUUCUCUUAUUUAAAAUUCAGAGUUAUUCAAUAGAAAUCAUUCUUUUUGCCCCCCAUAAUCUUAAAAGGCCAAUUUUAAAACUGUGGUAACAAUGCUGAGAUACAGUAGGUAAAAUAUGCUCUUCUGACACUAUCUUGGACUGAUCUUGAGAGUGGCUGGGGUGUAGGAUAGGAAUACAAUUUACUAGUAAUGAUUAAGUUUUCUGUGGUGCCCUAGUCCUUCUAACCUCAAAAACUGUGGCUCAAAUCUGUAGGAGAGAGGAAGCAAACUAUCUUCUUGUUUCCCCCAAACUCCUUUUGCACCUUUCUUCUGCAGGUCCCCAUAUUUGUACCUGUAUCCAAGCCGCAGUGUCUGUGCCAACAGGGAGAGGAUGUGAAGGUGGAUUUCAAUCUCCAAUAACUUUCAGUUGGAUAGGUUUCCUGCCAAAGAGGAAAAUGAGCCCAAAGUUUCAAAUUAUGGGAGAAAAGCCCUAGCAGCAUAGCAGUGACUGAGAGCAGAUUUUUGCUUCUGAGAAGAACUAAGCUGAAGAGCUUUUCAGCAAUGACAUUGAAUAAAAGACCAAACUGAGGUCUGCUGCAGGAGCAAUCCUUUGGUUUAGCAUCAAUCUUGAGCUGAAUGUUAAUGGUAAGGAAUAAUAAUUCCUGCAAGAAAUAAUUUCAUGUUCUGUCAGAAAUUCAGAGAGGAUUCAAAUAGAUUAUCUUAGAUUGACACACAUAAUUAAAAACUCAUUUAAUACUUAGAAUGAAACCACUGCAAGAUAUUGACUCUGAAAUACCAAAAUGACUAUGUCAGUGGGAUUCAACAUUUUGUUAUAGUCUGAACAACAAACUAUACAUUCUGUAUAAAGACAUAAAUGUCUUAAGAAGUAGUUUUAGCAGUAUCUAGAAUGCUUUAACUUGUAUGAAAAUAAUUCAAAUCAAUGACAAGCUCAAUGAAAUGGUCCAAGGUAGUCCAAAUACAAGUCUAGUUUCAGGAUGAUUUACUCUUGCUGAGAAGAUAUUCCAGCAAAGCAAGUCUAUUCUGUCAAGAUGGCAUUUGCAAAUAAAAAAAUACUCAUAUUCCUUUCCACUUCAUCUUUUCUGAUCAUUGACCUGUUCAUUUUUUCUUAUAAAAUUGCAGAUUCCUCUGUAAGGAGACUAUUUUUCCCUCCAAUUCAUUGGAAACAAGUAAGUUGCAUUUCAGUUUCUCUAGUAAAAAGCUUGAGCUAGUCUCUUUAAUCAUGCAUCUCAGAAAAUGUGACUGUUGUCAGAAGAGAUUUCAAGCAAGAUAUUGCCCAUGGGAGAAAAUGUAGUUGUGUGCCAGGAACACAGAG